ACUUUUUUUUGUAUUGAUUAGCAUCUGUAAUUGAUUCGUUGUUAAGCUUAUGACGUGGUGCCUUUUGAUUGGUUUUCGAAUAACUGGUUAUAAAAAAAAAUGACAUAGAACUUGCUCAUAUAGAAGUUUGGCACCUUAGGAGAAACACUGGGUGUGUCUCAUUCCGCCUACUUCCGUCAGUGCACUGCUGAUGUGCACUGACCACUUACUGCCGUAGUGCCCACUUUUGACCGUUAGUAGUGUUCCAAAUGGAACACUUAUGUUAAAACACUUACCGGAAAUGACGGCAUGACGUGACGAACGCAACACACGUGACCGCGAAUUUUUCAGACGGCCAAAAAGACCGCCAAAAAUAUAUGCCGGCGUUUUAUUUUAUAAAAACAAUGGGUUACGUUCACAGCAUGUUGAAAUUAUAUCGCCUCCGACGUCAACACAGGAUCCUCCAAAUAUUGGCUGAACAUGAGCGUCCUCUCAACCCCAGAAAGUACUGCCAAAUAAAUGCCACAGUGCCAGUGUUGGCACUAUACUUUGAUGGCCACAGCGACAUGAGGGUUGACUAUCGCCUUUCAAGGGUGUCAUUCAACGCACUCAUGGAUCUGUUGGGCAGGGAAUGCGACCAUGGCUGGGGCCCAGAAAUCGACACCCUGAUCUUUCUUUUCUGGCUUGCCACUCCCUCCUCCUACCGUGUUGUUGCCAGGGCCUUUGCCAUGCCCCGGGCAACUAUUCACCGGGUAGUCCACAGGGUGAGUGGGAAGAUCGCCGCUCUUCUUUAUCGGGUGGUCUGACAUCCCACCGCAGAAGAGCUCCCUAGCCUCGGGGGUAGCUUUGCCCGUCUGGGCAGAUCCGCAGCCUUCAACCUUGUGGUUGGUGCCAUCGAUGGCUGUCACGUCAGGGUGAAGCCCCCAGCACAAGAUGCUGCCUGUUAUUUUAACAGGAAGCUCUUUUAUUCCAUCCAGCUGCAGGCCAUCUGUGAUAACGUGGGGAAGUUCCUCGAUGUGUUCGUGGGGUCAGGAGGGCACGAAGACCAGCACAAGCACCUCCAGGAGCCGUCUCUGGUGCAGAGCAGAGACAGAGGAUGGCAAUGGCAUGUUAUGUCCCUGACCAUGAUUACAUUUAAAAAUGUAAAAUGCAUGAUUGAAUAAAUUACAUGACCAUUGUAUGAUUGUGUUGAUUUCAUCUGGCAUGUUAAAAAACAAAACAAA